rnacentral:lncRNA from 1 species
AUCAGUUUUUGGUGAAAAAUUUGAUACGGGGGGGGUAUACCCUAAAAAUGAAAAAUCUCAAACUUUGGAGGUCCAUAUCUCGGCUUCUAUGGGUCCUAUCGGGAAAAUUCCAACGGUUUUGACUUAGUUUCGUCCUUCUGAAUCCAACGAGACCAUCCGCAAGGUCGUAGCUCCCAUAUUAGCUGAGAUCUCGCAUUUUUAUAGCCCAUUUUUGGGCUCAAAAACGGGGUCAAAAAUUGACUUUUUUCCGAAUUUUCAAAGUGCUAUAAUUCCACUUGUUCUGGUCAAAUUCUGUUAUAACCCGGUGUUUUCGUAAUAUUGGUGAUAAGAAUAAGCCGCUGAUAGGGGUUUCUCUAGCUAUUUUCGGGUUUAAAGAAAAUCGAUUUUUCGCUUAUUCAAAGUGCUAUAAUUCCGUUAGUUUUUCUCGAAACUCAUUAUAACCCGGUGUUUUCGUGUUGCAGGUGAUGGAAACAAGCCGCUGGUAUAGUUAGUUCAAAUUCGAAAAAAAUCAGUUUUUGGUGAAAAAUUUGAUACGGGGGGGUAUACCCUAAAAAUGAAAAAUCUCAAACUUUGGAGGUCCAUAUCUCGGCUUCUAUGGGUCCUAUCGGGAAAAUUCCAACGGUUUUGACUUAGUUUCGUCCUUCUGAAUCCAACGAGACCAUCCGCAAGGUCGUAGCUCCCAUAUUAGCUGAGAUCUCGCAUUUUUAUAGCCCAUUUUUGGGCUCAAAAACGGGGUCAAAAAUUGACUUUUUUCCGAAUUUUCAAAGUGCUAUAAUUCCACUUGUUCUGGUCGAAUUCUGUUAUAACCCGGUGUUUUCGUAAUAUUGGUGAUAAAAAUAAGUCGCUGAUAGGGGUUUCUCUAGCUAUUUUCGGGUUUAAAGAAAAUCGAUUUUUCGCAUAUUCAAAGUGCUAUAAUUCCGUUAGUUUUUCUCGAAACUCAUUAUAACCCGGUGUUUUCGUGUUGCAGGUGAUGGAAACAAGCCGCUGGUAUAGUUAGUUCAAAUUCGAAAAAAAUCAGUUUUUGGUGAAAAAUUUGAUACGGGGGGGUAUACCCUAAAAAUGAAAAAUCUCAAACUUUGGAGGUCCAUAUCUCGGCUUCUAUGGGUCCUAUCGGAAAAAUUCCAACGGUUUUGACUUAGUUUCGUCCUUCUGAAUCCAACGAGACCAUCCGCAAGGUCGUAGCUUCAAUAUUAGCUGAGAUCUCGCAUUUUUAUAGCCCAUUUUUGGGCUCAAAAACGGGGUCAAAAAUUGACUUUUUUCCGAAUUUUCAAAGUGCUAUAAUUCCACUUGUUCUGGUCGAAUUCUGUUAUAACCCGGUGUUUUCGUAAUAUUGGUGAUAAGAAUAAGUCGCUGAUAGGGGUUUCUCUAGCUAUUUUCGGGUUUAAAGAAAAUCGAUUUUUCGCAUAUUCAAAGUGCUAUAAUUCCGUUAGUUUUUCUCGAAACUCAUUAUAACCCGGUGUUUUCGUGUUGCAGGUGAUGGAAACAAGCCGCUGGUAUAGUUAGUUCAAAUUCGAAAAAAAUCAGUUUUUGGUGAAAAAUUUGAUACGGGGGGGUAUACCCUAAAAAUGAAAAAUCUCAAACUUUGGAGGUCCAUAUCUCGGCUUCUAUGGGUCCUAUCGGGAAAAUUCCAACGGUUUUGACUUAGUUUCGUCCUUCUGAAUCCAACGAGACCAUCCGCAAGGUCGUAGCUCCCAUAUUAGCUGAGAUCUCGCAUUUUUAUAGCCCAUUUUUGGGCUCAAAAACGGGGUCAAAAAUUGACUUUUUUCCGAAUUUUCAAAGUGCUAUAAUUCCACUUGUUCUGGUCAAAUUCUGUUAUAACCCGGUGUUUUCGUAAUAUUGGUGAUAAGAAUAAGCCGCUGAUAGGGGUUUCUCUAGCUAUUUUCGGGUUUAAAGAAAAUCGAUUUUUCGCUUAUUCAAAGUGCUAUAAUUCCGUUAGUUUUUCUCGAAACUCAUUAUAACCCGGUGUUUUCGUGUUGCAGGUGAUGGAAACAAGCCGCUGGUAUAGUUAGUUCAAAUUCGAAAAAAAUCAGUUUUUGGUGAAAAAUUUGAUACGGGGGGGUAUACCCUAAAAAUGAAAAAUCUCAAACUUUGGAGGUCCAUAUCUCGGCUUCUAUGGGUCCUAUCGGGAAAAUUCCAACGGUUUUGACUUAGUUUCGUCCUUCUGAAUCCAACGAGACCAUCCGCAAGGUCGUAGCUCCCAUAUUAGCUGAGAUCUCGCAUUUUUAUAGCCCAUUUUUGGGCUCAAAAACGGGGUCAAAAAUUGACUUUUUUCCGAAUUUUCAAAGUGCUAUAAUUCCACUUGUUCUGGUCGAAUUCUGUUAUAACCCGGUGUUUUCGUAAUAUUGGUGAUAAGAAUAAGCCGCUGAUAGGGGUUUCUCUAGCUAUUUUCGGGUUUAAAGAAAAUCGAUUUUUCGCAUAUUCAAAGUGCUAUAAUUCCGUUAGUUUUUCUCGAAACUCAUUAUAACCCGGUGUUUUCGUGUUGCAGGUGAUGGAAACAAGCCGCUGGUAUAGUUAGUUCAAAUUCGAAAAAAAUCAGUUUUUGGUGAAAAAUUUGAUACGGGGGGGUAUACCCUAAAAAUGAAAAAUCUCAAACUUUGGAGGUCCAUAUCUCGGCUUCUAUGGGUCCUAUCGGGAAAAUUCCAAUGGUUUUGACUUAGUUUCGUCCUUCUGAAUCCAACGAGACUAUCCGCAAGGUCGUAGCUCCCAUAUUAGCUGAGAUCUCGCAUUUUUAUAGCCCAUUUUUGGGCUCAAAAACGGGGUCAAAAAUUGACUUUUUUCCGAAUUUUCAAAGUGCUAUAAUUCCACUUGUUCUGGUCGAAUUCUGUUAUAACCCGGUGUUUUCGUAAUAUUGGUGAUAAGAAUAAGCCGCUGAUAGGGGUUUCUCUAGCUAUUUUCGGGUUUAAAGAAAAUCGAUUUUUCGCUUAUUCAAAGUGCUAUAAUUCCGUUAGUUUUUCUUGAAACUCAUUAUAACCCGGUGUUUUCGUGUUGCAGGUGAUGGAAACAAGCCGCUGGUAUAGUUAGUUCAAAUUCGAAAAAAAUCAGUUUUUGGUGAAAAAUUUGAUACGGGGGGGGUAUACCCUAAAAAUGAAAAAUCUUAAACUUUGGAGGUCCAUAUCUCGGCUUCUAUGGGUCCUAUCGGGAAAAUUCCAACGGUUUUGACUUAGUUUCGUCCUUCUGAAUCCAACGAGACCAUCCGCAAGGUCGUAGCUCCCAUAUUAGCUGAGAUCUCGCAUUUUUAUAGCCCAUUUUUGGGCUCAAAAACGGGGUCAAAAAUUGACUUUUUUCCGAAUUUUCAAAGUGCUAUAAUUCCACUUGUUCUGGUCGAAUUCUGUUAUAAUCCGGUGUUUUCGUAAUAUUGGUGAUAAGAAUAAGUCGCUGAUAGGGGUUUCUCUAGCUAUUUUCGGGUUUAAAGAAAAUCGAUUUUUCGCAUAUUCAAAGUGCUAUAAUUCCGUUAGUUUUUCUCGAAACUCAUUAUAACCCGGUGUUUUCGUGUUGCAGGUGAUGGAAACAAGCCGCUGGUAUAGUUAGUUCAAAUUCGAAAAAAAUCAGUUUUUGGUGAAAAAUUUGAUACGGGGGGGUAUACCCUAAAAAUGAAAAAUCUCAAACUUUGGAGGUCCAUAUCUCGGCUUCUAUGGGUCCUAUCGGGAAAAUUCCAACGGUUUUGACUUAGUUUCGUCCUUCUGAAUCCAACGAGACCAUCCGCAAGGUCGUAGCUCCCAUAUUAGCUGAGAUCUCGCAUUUUUAUAGCCCAUUUUUGGGCUCAAAAACGGGGUCAAAAAUUGACUUUUUUCCGAAUUUUCAAAGUGCUAUAAUUCCACUUGUUCUGGUCGAAUUCUGUUAUAACCCGGUGUUUUCGUAAUAUUGGUGAUAAGAAUAAGCCGCUGAUAGGGGUUUCUCUAGCUAUUUUCGGGUUUAAAGAAAAUCAAUUUUUCGCAUAUUCAAAGUGCUAUAAUUCCGUUAGUUUUUCUCGAAACUCAUUAUAACCCGGUGUUUUCGUGUUGCAGGUGAUGGAAACAAGCCGCUGGUAUAGUUAGUUCAAAUUCGAAAAAAAUCAGUUUUUGGUGAAAAAUUUGAUACGGGGGGGUAUACCCUAAAAAUGAAAAAUCUCAAACUUUGGAGGUCCAUAUCUCGGCUUCUAUGGGUCCUAUCGGGAAAAUUCCAACGGUUUUGACUUAGUUUCGUCCUUCUGAAUCCAACGAGA